CAAAUAGACAGUACAAUUAAAGUAUAAGUGAGUUUUUACAAGAGUUAAGAUUGUUCAUGCCAGCUUUAAUAUACAUCCAAGAGGGACAAUCCAGUGUCAAACAGCAACACCUACUGAAUACAGACCUUAUCGUUAUUUGGAUAUCAACGUUGCAGUGCUUGACCUGAGAAUCUGCUCCUUUGAACUUUUAACGUCCUACGGCAAUCACUUAUCCAUUAUGGCAUCAGAUUUUUUUGUGUUUUACCAGAAGCUCUGUGAUUAUCCAGUAAUGCCUAAUGGCAGACAAAUAGACCCC
rnacentral:lncRNA from 1 species